rnacentral:rRNA from 1 species
AUCAGCAUGCCGCGGUGAAUACGUUCCCGGGCCUUGUACACACCGCCCGUCACACCAUGGGAGCCGGUAAUACCCGAAGUCAGUAGUCCAACCUCGUGAGGACGCUGCCGAAGGUAGGAUUGGCGACUGGGGUGAAGUCGUAACAAGGUAAC